ACUGCGGCUGGGUCAGACGGUGCAGGUCCAGUUCGAGAAGGCCGAGGACAAGAUCGGCGCGGUCUGGUUGCCGGUGUUCAAACCCACCGCCGAGGCG
rnacentral:tRNA from 1 species